rnacentral:precursor_RNA from 1 species
UAGCCUCUCCUAGGCUUUGUCUGUUCAGAGAAUUACAUCACUAGACAUAGCCUAAAAGAGGUUAG